rnacentral:pre_miRNA from 1 species
AUGGUUACCCUUACAAAAACACUGACUUUGAUUCUCAAUACAGUAAGUGCUUUUUGUUGGGGUAGUUUUG